rnacentral:tRNA from 1 species
GUCAGGAAAGCUCAGUUGGUAGAGCAGAGGACUGAAAAUC